rnacentral:rRNA from 1 species
GGCGAACGGGUGAGUAACGCGUUGGUGACCUGCCCUGAAACGCGGGAUAACAGUUCGAAAGGACUGCUAAUACCGCAUGAGGUCAUUGAGGUUAGAGGCUUGAUGACGAAAGGAGCAAUCCGUUUCAGGAGGGACCUGCGUCCCAUCAGCUAGUUGGUGAGGUAACGGCCCACCAAGGCGAAGACGGGUAGGGGGCCUGAGAGGGUGACCCCCCACACUGGCACUGAAACACGGGCCAGACACCUACGGGUGGCAGCAGUAGGGAAUAUUGCACAAUGGGCGCAAGCCUGAUGCAGCAACGCCGCGUGAACGAUGAAGGCCUUCGGGUCGUAAAGUUCUUUUUGAGGAGACGAGGAAGGACGGUAUCCUCAGAAUAAGGAUCGGCUAACUACGUGCCAGCAGCCGCGGUAAAACGUAAGAUCCGAGCGUUAUCCGAAUUCACUGGGCGUAAAGCGCGUGCAGGCGGUUUGGUAAGUUGGAUGUGAAAGCUCCUGGCUCAACUGGGAGAGGCCGUUCAAAACUACCAGACUUGAGGACGGUAGAGGGAGGUGGAAUUCCCGGUGUAGUAGUGAAAUGCGUAGAUAUCGGGAGGAACACCAGUGGCGAAAGCGGCCUCCUGGACCGUUCCUGACGCUUAGACGCGAAAGCUAGGGGAGCGAACGGGAUUAGAAACCCCGGUAGUCCUAGCUGUAAACGAUGUAGACUGGGUGUCGGUGGGGUAAAAGCCAUCGGUACCGAAGCCAACGCGAUAAGUCUACCGCCUGGGGACUACGGCCCGCAAGG